rnacentral:tRNA from 1 species
GGGAUAAUGGCUCAGAGGCAGAGCAUCCGUUUUGUAUGCGGAACGUCCCGGGUUCAAUCCCUCGAAUUUCCA